AUUGGAGCAGGUCGCGCGGAUGUGGUCGGUGCUUAUUAAAACGAUGAUGCAUAAAAGUGGUGCGCGCUAAAGAGGCCGCCGAGCUUCAGACGGACACCGCGCGCUCCACAGUCCGGCUGAUGGAGAGAACACCUGCGAAAAAAGAGAGGGUGAGAGAGAGGGAGAGAGAGAGCGAGAGAGAGAGAGAGAGAGAGAAGGAGGCCACGGACUUCAAAGCGGCUCCAUCCACAGGAGGAGAAGAAGAGGAGGAGGAGGAGGAAGAGAGGAGGAGGAGGAGGAGAAGGAGAAGAGGAGGCGCAGGGGUGCGCGCUGCGCGUUCUCGUUUCUGCCCGAGCGUCUCCAGCAGCGCUGCGCUUUUUAAACGUGUUUAAGAAAAUGCGCUUUUUGAAAAAGAAAUGAAGAAAACUUCAAAACAUUGAGCGCAUUUUUUCACAUAUUCAGAUCGUGUCUGCGAAUCGCCGCGGGCAAAAUAAGAGCAGGAGAUUCAGAGUCCUCUCCAGGUGCUCGUCCUCCUCCUCCGCCCUGCAAAUACGCACACACAUACAGGGUCAAAGGUCAGACACGGACUCAAAGAAAAGCCACCUAUAACAGGAACGAUUAUACUAUGCCUCACCUUCAUGCUGCUUCUGUCCUGCUUUUGUUGGAACUCUACAUACUGUUUGUCCCUUUUUCUGAACCCUGACUGCAUUUCCUAACAACGUUCCUGAGAAAAGUUUCUGAAUGAUCGCAAAAGUCACACCUGGCAAAGUGGAGGACCAAGCUAACAAAGAAAGCCUUGCUGGAGGAGUCAACGAUGGACUUACUCUUUUUCCUGGGCAUCAAGGUCUCGGACCAGUGCAUCACGCUUGUUGACCAGUAUGACCAGCUCGUCCAGAAGGAGCUGCUCCCGUCGCUUCUGGGCCUCAGUUUUCUGCCAGUCUGAAAGCAGUGAGAGACACUUCAGGACAAAAGUUCAGAAGAGGAACAGAGAAGCUGCCAAGCUAAAAUUUAUUUACCUGGUGACCCUAUACAGUUCAUACUCCAUAAGCUCCACAGACCUAAAGACAGCCAUAAUGGCUAUACAAGAACAAAGAAGUUGUAAGACAAACUGCCCACUGUGCUCAACAUGAACUGCACUCUGGAAGUGGCCAUUUUUUGGUCAAGACUGAGAAUACAGCAGUUGUAAAGCAUCACUGCUGCAGUUCAGUGAGUUUCUGUCAGUCACUACCUCCAUGGAGUUGAUGCCACAGAGUGGAAUUCACCAACAUAAGAACAUCUGAUAAGAAGCGUAAACAUGAGGACGGGGUACCAAGAGCACCCAGCAAAUACCAUUUAUGGCAGUUUCCCAACACUUUAGAACACCUAGUCCACCCGACUCCUCGGAUACAAUCCCAAAUGGAUCAAGAUCUCUCGGCACAAUCUAAAAUACAGAGUAGGGUCGUUUUGACUCAACUGGAUUAAGCCAGAACGAGGACUCUUAAAGGGUCUGACUGGGCAAUCCCUAUUGCAGCCCACAAAAUUCACAGAACUCUACAAGGUGAAGUUAGGUGAAGCACAAAUGGUAUAAACUUCACAUAACUUAAUUUGUGGACCGCAGUAGGAAUUGUCCAGUCAUACCUUUUAGGAGUCCUGUUUGUGGCUUAGUCUAGUUGGGUCAAAAUGAUCCUGUUUCGCAUCUUGAAUUGUGCUGAGAGAUCCUGAUUUGUUUGGGUCAGUUCCGAGGAUUUGAUCGGACUGUUCCCAAGGUGUUUUGAAACUGCCAUAAAAGGUAUAGGGUCUGGAAGUGACUGGUCUAUCACUGUCACAGUCCACAAAUUCUCACUUUGAGUUCACAGUGUUCAUGCUUUUUCAACUGUGUCUGUGAGUUGAAUCUACAUAUACUAUUGCCAAAGUGUAUGCGUGAGUGUACACAAGGUGACCUGGCCAGGUAGGCCGGCCUGCUGGUCUGAAAUAUCAGCCUGGCUAACAUGAUCAGCCAUUACUGAUACCAGUGGAGAUUAGGCUGCGCUCACAGCCAACGAGACGUUAACUUCACCAAGCCUAUUCUUUCAUUCUGUGUAAGAACACACUGUGCCGGUAGUGUCUGCGUGCUGCUUUCACACACUUCAGAGAAAUCAAAAAGAAGAAGAGAAAAAGAAAAAAAGAGAGAAAGCCUAACCCUGACAAAAAAGUCCUUAUGUUGCUCAGCCCUCACCCACUAACCUGCUAACUCACAACAGUGUAUCAAUAUUUGACGAUUGAUUCCUGAAAAAGAAAAAAAAAGAAAAGGGGCGGUAGAGAUAAAACAGACGUUUGGCCCGUUCCCCCGUAAAAUGUCAAUCCUUAAAAUAAGUGUACUUUAUUAAAAAUAAAUAUUUCUUCUGUGGUGGUGUGAAAUUGCGGCAGAGGGGCGGUGCGUGUGUGUCCCGCUGUGAGCCGGGGUGGGUCCUGAAAGGUCUCCUCCGCUGCCUCAUUUGGCCUUUGAAGUGAAGCACACAGGCGAAAUGAACACAGUUCCAAUAUUUGGCAAGUUAUUCGGCCUUCCAGCACCAAAGGAAACAACUCCGCUCCUCCAGUCUUCAGCCUCAUCAAAAAGCUAAUGCUUCAAAUAUUUUUAAAGGAUUCCUCUCUUUUAAAAAGUCUUUUUGAAGAAUUAAAAGUGAGGUGGACUGGUAAAAAAAAAAAAAAAAAAAAAAACUUUAGGAAUUUA